AAGUCGUAACAAGGUUUCCGUAGGUGAACCUGCGGAAGGAUCAUUACAGAGUUCAUGCCCGAAAGGGUAGACCUCCCACCCUUGUGUAUUUGUACUUUGUUGCUUUGGCGGGCCGCCGCAAGGCUACCGGCUUCGGCUGGUGCGUGCCCGCCAGAGGACCUUCAAACUCUGAAUGUUAGUGUCGUCUGAGUACUAUAUAAUAGUUAAAACUUUCAACAACGGAUCUCUUGGUUCUG
rnacentral:misc_RNA from 1 species